GACGAACGCUGGCGGCGUGCCUAAUACAUGCAAGUUGAGCGAUGAAGAUUGGUGCUUGCACCAAUUUGAAGAGCAGCGAACGGGUGAGUAACGCGUGGGGAAUCUGCCUUUGAGCGGGGGACAACAGUUGGAAACGAAUGCUAAGACCGCAUAACAACUUUAGACAUAAGUUUUAAGUGUGAAAGAUGCAAUUGCAUCUCUCAAAGAUGAUCCGGCGGUCGAUUAGCUAGUUGGUGAGGUAAAGGCUCACCAAGACGGUGAUGGGUAGCCGACCUGGGAGGGGGGACGGCCACAAUGGGACUGCGAGACGGACCAGACUCCAACGGGAGGCAGCAGAGGAGAAUAUUACACAAUGGGCGCAAGUCUGAGGCAGCGUUUCCGCGUGGGUGAUGACUGGUUGCGGGUUGAAAACGCGUUUCGGGAGGGACGAAGCUUUUUGUGACGGUACCUAGAUAAAAAGCACCGGCUAACUACGUG
rnacentral:rRNA from 1 species